GGUACCUUGCCCGAGCGGUUAGGGAUCGGUCUGCAAAACCGGGGACGGCGGUUCGAAUCCGCCAGGUACCUCCA
rnacentral:tRNA from 1 species